rnacentral:rRNA from 1 species
CCUACGGGAGGCAGCAGUGAGGAUUAUUGGUCAAUGGACGCAAGUCUGAACCAGCCAUGCCGCGUGCAGGAUGACGGCCCUAUGAGUUGUAAACUGCUUUUGUACGAGGGUAAACCCCGAUACGUGUAACUGGCUGAAAGUACCGUACGAAUAAGGAUCGGCUAACUCCGUUCCAGCAGCCGCGGUAAUACGGAGGAUCCGAGCGUUGUCCGGAUUUAUUGGGUUUAAAGGGUGCGUAGGCGGUUUGGUAAGUUAGAUGUGAAAUGUCGGGGCUCAACCCCGAAACUGCCUCUGAUACUGUUUGGCUAGAGAAUAGUUGCGGUAGGCGGAAUGUAUGGUGUAGCGGUGAAAUGCUUAGAGAUCAUACAGAACACCGAUUGCGAAGGCAGCUUACCAAACUAUAUCUGACGUUGAGGCACGAAAGCGUGGGUAGCAAACAGGAUUAGAUACCCUAGUAGUC